AUUGAACGCUGGCGGCAUGCCUUACACAUGCAAGUCGAACGGUAGAGGGGCAACCCUCGAGAGUGGCGAACGGGUGAGUAAUGCAUCGGAACGUGCCCAGUAGCGGGGGAUAGCCCGGCGAAAGCCGGAUUAAUACCGCAUACGACCUACGGGUGAAAGGGGGGGAUCGCAAGACCUCUCGCUAUUGGAGCGGCCGAUGUCAGAUUAGGUAGUUGGUGGGGUAAAGGCCUACCAAGCCGACGAUCUGUAGCUGGUCUGAGAGGACGACCAGCCACACUGGGACCGAGACACGGCCCAGACUCCGACGGGAGGCAGCAGUGGGGAAUUUUGGCCAAUGGGCGAAAGCCUGAUCCAGCCAUGCCGCGUGCAGGAAGAAGGCCUUCGGGUUGUAAACCGCUCUUGUCAGGGAAGAAAUCCUUUGGGCUAAUACCCUGGGGGGAUGACGGUACCUGAAGAAUAAGCACCGGCUAACUACGUGCCAGCCGCCGCCGUAAAAC
rnacentral:rRNA from 1 species